CAGCCGCCGCGGGAAUACAGAGGGUGCAAGCGUUAAUCGGAAUUACUGGGCGUAAAGCGCGCGUAGGUGGUUUGUUAAGUUGGAUGUGAAAUCCCCGGGCUCAACCUGGGAACUGCAUCCAAAACUGGCAAGCUAGAGUAUGGUAGAGGGUGGUGGAAUUUCCUGUGUAGCGGUGAAAUGCGUAGAUAUAGGAAGGAACACCAUUGGCGAAGGCGACCACCUGGACUGAUACUGACACUGAGGUGCGAAAGCGUGGGGAGCAAACAGGAUUAGAUACCCGCGUAGUCCCUGUCUCUUAUAC
rnacentral:rRNA from 1 species